AGACAAAUCUACAGAUUUAAACAAAACCGGUAUUUUCAGCCACUUCCUUUCUCAGGUUUUGUCUUAAUGAAACACAUUAUUUAUUAAAAAUAAUUUCUGCAGCUGUACACACAUCAAGUCGUUUAUGUGUAUUGCACAUUUCAGCAACGAAGCAGUUCAAAGUGCUUUGCAUCUUCUAAUCAUCAUACAGUCAUUAAUUAUGAAACAGCCUAUAGCAAUAUUUUAACUGAACCCAUCAAUUUAGAUUCCUGGCUCCUCAUUCAAACUCUCUGUUCGUUAACUUCUGAGUUCUUGAAAAGUAUGUUCUUAUUUUUUGCCAUUUAGAAAAUAGAAAUGUUUUGGAGAUUCAAACUGAUCUGAAACAGGAAAAAUUCAGUGAGAAACAGAGGUUAAGUCCCUUUUAUACAGAUUUAUUCAUUUAAAAUCUGGUAAGUCAAACAGCUUUGAGACACGAUAAAGAUCAUCAGGAAACAGCAUCGUGUCUUUAUUUACACGUGCAUGUAGAAACGUGACGCUUUUCACACCGUUUCAGCCAAAAGCUUUCUGCUGGGGCUUUCUGUAUUAUUUGAUUUAAGCUUUGUCUCGUCAUGCGCUUUGUGUUUCCUCUGCUUCUAGUUUUACUUAUGAUCAUCAGUCUAACUUUAGACACAAACACAAACAAAUAUUGAGCAGAUUGUG